rfam:Daucus carota subsp. sativus cultivar DH1 chromosome 1, whole genome shotgun sequence.
AGGAGCCGUGUGAGAUGAAAGUCUCAUGCACGGUUUUGAAUGAGAGAAAGAAGUGAGGAAUCUUUGAAAAAAUGUUUCUCAAUAUCAUUUAUUAACAUUAU